AAUAUCCGUAUUAGUAGGUCUAAUGUGUUGCGAAAUGAUCUCGACAGCUGAAUGUUUUGUUCCGUUUCGCUCAUAUCGCUUUCUCACAGAGGGACAGUAGUUCAACUAUUCUCUGAAAAUGUUUGCCUCCGCGUUUAUUCUCUCAUUACUGAUAGCACUGCAGCUUUCUUCUUCUUUGGCUGUAGUGGAGUGAAUCAGCUGGUGUUG